rnacentral:lncRNA from 12 species
UGCUGCAGUGCCUGGCGUCCAGGAUUAAAAAGGACGAACAGUUCAGGCCAGCCAGAAUCACAAAGUGUCUCAAGUCAUCAAAGAAUUAUGAGUGUUGGAGCAAGACUGCAGUGAGGUGAACUUUAGCCUGAGGCAUCUGGUGUGAUGUGGGGAAAAAGCAAAGGAAAAGCAAAAAUCUUAUCCUUUUAAACUACUGUAUCUGCACAGUAAUCUGGGACCAGAGGCUUUUCAUGAUUUAACUAGCCUGUCUGCCUCAUCUGAGGACUAAACAAUUACAACUCUGUCAAUCAUCCUCUGGAUAUGAGUUCCCUUAUGCUCAUCCCUCUCCAACUCCAUGAUGAUGUGACCUUGGCCAUCCACAAUCUCCAGGGAAACCUGGAGCUUGCAAAUAAUGAUCAGUUCGGAUAAUCACUGCUGGCAGCUCAGCAGAGUUCGAGUCUCCACUUGCUGCUCUUCCAAUUAGCUGUAGUGCUGAUCAUUUCCCCCUUUGCAUACUAAAGACAGGAUCAAGAAGCACUUUGCAUAUGAAAGAUGGGAAACACCUACCGAGUGAAUGGAGCUGUCUGAUGCCUGACUCAAACUACAACUUCUCCUGUUGCCAGAGGAAUCUCAAGGGGGAAUAAAAACAAGGAGAAAAAUGGCAGAAGUCUGUACCUUGCUUACAACCAGAGCCCUUUUUCAUCAAGAACCUUUGCUCAAUUAGAUAUUAAGUGCCACAAAAUUUCAUUAAUUAAAAAAAAGAAGCUAGUUUGAUUCUCUUUCCCCUUUUUUUUCUUCCUCUAGCAAGAUUUUGUUUGCAUAUCAGCUGUACAAGUGUUC